UUCUCCUUCCUGCUUCCUCCGCUUCGAGGGGACGCAACACAACCGCCGGUGCGGCGCCGGAGGAGAGGGGAGCGCGCGCGCCGCCGCCGCCACCGAAUGCCGCAGCACGCGCGACUCGCCGCCUUCCUCCCACCCACCGGCCGAGAUACAUCCAAUUAUACAGCUCAUAUGUCCAAGCAGACACAGGAUAUAAACAAAGGAAAUUAAAGCACAUAUGCCACAUAAGUUGACACAUCAGGGGGCAAAGAAAGCAGCAGACUACUGCUGGAGUGCUGGGACUGGGAGGCCAUGUCCACCUUUCUUCUGUUGCCAAUUAAGUCCCAAUUUUGUUAGCUGCUGUGCUGUGUUGUGCUGUGCGUGCGUGCGUGCAUGUGCACCUCAUUUUCUCCCACCUGCAAGAUUUUAUGUGUCAGACCUAAGUAUUGUCCUUUAUUUCUCUUGCUUUUCAGGUAAGUCACUGGAUCACUUGUCUCUGUGGAAAAGCUCCCCGUCAAUCAUCACAGUUGGGGUCCUGGGGAAAAAGAAGUGGUGGCAUCAGAUGUUGGUAUUCCAGGACAGAGGGCAUCUUCUCCCCUUUGUUUACCAUGGGCAUGCAGCUAGAUACCCUAGCAAUUUUCAUUCGGAAAUCCGUAUCUGCUUCUCCAAUCCGAGAUGAAGCACGUUGAGCGUGUCUGUGGUGAUCAGUUCUUCAGAACGGUGAGCUUCCCCAUAAUUGCACAGAUAAUUGCGCAGGUACAGGAAUAAUGAUUUGUCUGCUGACUGUCUCUGCCGUCAAUGGGAACACCGAUCGGUCGAUCGAUUGAUCAUUGUGGAGAGGCCGGUUGUGUUUCUUGGAAUUUAGAAGUACUGGAAAAAAAGAAAAGAAAAGAUGCAAGGGCCUGGAGGACAGAGACAAAAACAUUUGGAGUUAUAGUAUUCAUCCCAAAUGAGCUAGUCAAUGCAAGUAUUAUGGCCUGGUAUCCUGAUGAAAGGAAAAGGGGGAAAAGUUUAAUCCAUGAUUCCAUGAUUAGGAUUGUAAUGGCAUCCAUCCCCCCUCCUGUGCCCAUGUGACAGCGGAUACUCAUCCCCCCCAUUAAACAUUAAACAAGCGCGCGGCGAAUCAAAAGGCAUUGAUUGAUGAUUUUAUAAUCUGGUUUCCAGCUGAUCAUCCUUGUCCUUUGAUUCCUCAUGCAGACGGAUCCCAUCCGUUCUGGAGGCUUGCAUUGUCUGUUGUGGUAUAUAUGCAUUUGUACUAUAUGUUUUUUCUGGAGAUUUUUGGAGCAAUUAGCACAUCGCCGGUGUCUGUAUGUAUGUAGACGCUCAUCAGCUGCAUGCAGGAGCUAGCCGGGGAAAAAGGACUUUCUGGUGACAGCCUGACCUUCUCUGCUUUGGCAAUUGGCACAGGUCCGUUUCAUUCAUCUCAUCUCUCUUCCCCUCGUUCUUGGGCACAAGUCAGAAUUGUACAGUUGCAGCUCACAGGACAGCAGAUGAAUAUAUAUGCAGCUAAUAAUCCAAUUAUAUA